rnacentral:rRNA from 1 species
ACGCGAGCUGGGUUCAGAACGUCGUGAGACAGUUCGGUCCCUAUCCGUCGCAGGCGUAGGAAAUUUGAGAAGACCUGUCCUUAGUACGAGAGGACCGGGAUGGACGUACCUCUGGUGUACCAGUUGUCCUGCCAAGGGCAUGGCUGGGUAGCUAUGUACGGAAUGGAUAAGCGCUGAAAGCAUCUAAGCGCGAAGCCAACUUCAAGAUAAGAUUUCCCACCGCAAGGGUAAGACCCCAGAAAGACUAACUGGUUGAUAGGUCGAAGGUGUAAGUGCAGCAAUGUAUUUAGCUUAUCGAUACUAAUAGGUCGAGGACUUGACCAAU